rnacentral:rRNA from 1 species
ACGAACGCUGGCGGCGCGCCUAACACAUGCAAGUCGAACGGAGCUUAGAGAGCUUGCUUUUUAAGCUUAGUGGCGAACGGGUGAGUAACGCGUGAGUAACCUGCCCUAGAGUGGGGGACAACAGUUGGAAACGACUGCUAAUACCGCAUAAGCCCACGGUACCGCAUGGUACUGAGGGAAAAGGAUUUAUUCGCUUUAGGAUGGACUCGCGUCCAAUUAGCUAGUUGGUGAGGUAACGGCCCACCAAGGCGACGAUUGGUAGCCGGACUGAGAGGUUGAACGGCCACAUUGGGACUGAGACACGGCCCAGACUCCUACGGGAGGCAGCAGUGGGGGAUAUUGCACAAUGGGGGAAACCCUGAUGCAGCGACGCCGCGUGGAGGAAGAAGGUUUUCGGAUUGUAAACUCCUGUCGUUAGGGACGAUAAUGACGGUACCUAACAAGAAAGCACCGGCUAACUACGUGCCAGCAGCCGCGGUAAAACGUAGGGUGCAAGCGUUGUCCGGAAUUACUGGGUGUAAAGGGAGCGCAGGCGGGAAGACAAGUUGGAAGUGAAAACCAUGGGCUCAACCCAUGAAUUGCUUUCAAAACUGUUUUUCUUGAGUAGUGCAGAGGUAGAUGGAAUUCCCGGUGUAGCGGUGGAAUGCGUAGAUAUCGGGAGGAACACCAGUGGCGAAGGCGGUCUACUGGGCACCAACUGACGCUGAGGCUCGAAAGCAUGGGUAGCAAACAGGAUUAGAUACCCUGGUAGUCCAUGCCGUAAACGAUGAUUACUAGGUGUUGGGGGAUUGACCCCCUCAGUGCCGCAGUUAACACAAUAAGUAAUCCACCUGGGGAGUACGACCGCAAGGUUGAAACUCAAAGGAAUUUACGGGGGCCCGCACAAGCAGUGGAGUAUGUGGUUUAAUUCGAAGCAACGCGAAGAACCUUACCAGGUCUUGACAUCCUUCUGACCGGCCUAGAGAUAGGCUUUCUCUUCGGAGCAGAAGUGACAGGUGGUGCAUGGUUGUCGUCAGCUCGUGUCGUGAGAUGUUGGGUUAAGUCCCGCAACGAGCGCAACCCUUAUUGCCAGUUACUACGUUAAGAGGACUCUGGCGAGACUGCCGUUGACAAAACGGAGGAAGGUGGGGAUGACGUCAAAUCAUCAUGCCCUUUAUGACCUGGGCUACACACGUACUACAAUGGCGUUAAACAAAGAGAAGCAAGACCGCGAGGUGGAGCAAAACUCAAAAACAACGUCUCAGUUCAGAUUGCAGGCUGCAACUCGCCUGCAUGAAGUCGGAAUUGCUAGUAAUCGCGGAUCAGCAUGCCGCGGUGAAUACGUUCCCGGGCCUUGUACACACCGCCCGUCACACCAUGAGAGCCGGGGGGACCCGAAGUCGAUAGUCUAACCGCAAGGAGGACGUCGCCGAAGGUAAAACUGGUGAUUGGGGUG